AGAAAAAGAUUUACUUCAUUUGGCUAACGUAACAUCUUAAGCAACUAGACUUGCGGGCGACAGCGGCUGGUCUCUACGUCCCUAAAGGCAUUCACUCCUGCAAAAUACUUUUGUGACUCUGAAGUUAUCUCCUCCUCCUUCUUGACAAAGAAACAGGACAUCUGCAGCUUAUGAUCACAUUGUGUGAACAAGGGAUGCUGGGCAAAAAGCAAGCAGUUAACUUGUACAAGCAGAGAACCUCCCAGGGUUUCCAUUUCCUCCCGGAUAACACGUGCUGCCCUGUGAGGAGGUGCUAAAGUCAAGAGCAAGGUGGCAGGGGGCUUUCGAGCAAGAGGCGACCUGACUUCAGAGACCCUCAGUCCCCAAGACAGACGCAUGCCCUUCGAGAGAGCGGCCGCCCCAGGCACAGGCAGGCUCUGGGCUGUCAGGAUGGGAGCACGUGGUCCUCUUCCACCCACCUCCCGAACCUCCCCUGCUC
rnacentral:lncRNA from 1 species